GGAGAAAGGAGUGGACCGAGGAAGGAAGGAAGGCAAGGCUGUCUGUCCAUCCGUCCGUCUGUCCACCUACCUGUCAGUCC
ensembl:miRNA MIR4800 microRNA 4800